GCCUGGGUGGCUCAGCUGGUUGAGCAUCCAACUUCUGCUUGGGUCACGAUCUCGCUGUCCGUGGGUUCGAGCCCCGUGUCGGGCU
rnacentral:tRNA from 1 species